rnacentral:rRNA from 1 species
ACGAACGCUAGCGGCGUGCUUAACACAUGCAAGUCGAACGGUGAAGCUCCAGCUUGCUGGAGUGGAUCAGUGGCGAACGGGUGAGUAACACGUGAGCAACCUGCCCCUGACUCUGGAAUAAGCGCUGGAAACGGCGUCUAAUACUGGAUACGAGAAGGGUCCGCAUGGGCACUUUCUGGAAAGUUUUUCGGUUGGGGAUGGGCUCGCGGCUUAUCAGCUUGUUGGUGAGGUAAUGGCUCACCAAGGCGACGACGGGUAGCCGGCCUGAGAGGGCGACCGGCCACACUGGGACUGAGACACGGCCCAGACUCCUACGGGAGGCAGCAGUGGGGAAUAUUGCACAAUGGGCGAAAGCCUGAUGCAGCGACGCCGCGUGAGGGAUGACGGCCUUCGGGUUGUAAACCUCUUUCAGCAGGGAAGAAGCGAAAGUGACGGUACCUGCAGAAGAAGCACCGGCUAACUACGUG